UUCCUCAUUUUCAACUGCAAGUUCAGCAUUGUCUCCUUCAGAAGAAAUUGGAAGCUCAGGUUUCAGGAUGCCUGGAAAAUCAACCAGUGCAAAUUUUUGUCAAUAUUUCAAACAGAAAUUGGAAUAUGACUAUAUUAAAAAUCUUUAUAUGUAGCCUAGAAAUCGGUAAGAGGUGGAAACAUGCCAACUGUGGAUGACCCUUCAGGAGAAGUUUCCUCAGCAUAGUCUUCUCUGACCUCUACAAGACCUUCCUGUCAAAAGUUCAGUUCGCCAUCAAAUUCAUAAAUUUGUACAUAACAUCGAUCAAUAUCUGAAAAAAGAUAUAAAUAAGCAAAGUUUGUACUGCCAAACAAAA
rnacentral:lncRNA from 1 species